AUUUCACCCUGAAAGGCUCAUCUUAGAAUGGACAAAUUCAAGGAAUGGGAUCAGGCGCCUGUAGAAGUGGCUGAAGACAGAAGUGUGGCAGUCGAGUACACAGGAUGGGACCAGAGCUGCCAACUACCCAACAGGGGCCAUGUCGAUGCCCUUUUGGAUAUCAGCGAUGAUACCUCAUCCAAAGAGCAGGAGCCAUUUGAGUUUCUCUGUCUCUCCGGAUGGGAGGAAGCUAUCCGGGGCUGGGGUAGAACUACUCCACUUGGCUGCCUGGUUCAGACCCAGAGGAGAGGAAAGAGGGUCAAGACUGGAGACACAGACCACCACUGCCACCUGUGUGUGGACCUCGUGAAGCUCUCGGACCACCCUGACUCUGAAUCCAGUUUAACCCACUCCCCUGAGUCCUUCUGGGACUCCACCCUGGACCCAUGGGCGAAAACCUCCCCCACAAGCCUGGGAGACUUCCUGAACAGACCCUACAGUCACACCUCUAGCAUCUCUUCAGAGGAGUCCCCACCAGAGUCCUUCAGGGACCUUCAGAAAGCCACACAGCAACUGACACUCCGAGACAAGAUGAUGGAGGACAAGGGUGAGGUGUGUGAGAUCAGUGACUCACUGCUGGGCUUGGCCCCCUCGCAGGGUCACCACCACUCAGCCUCAGAGUGUCCCAUGACGCUGAUCAUCAACAGCUUCGCCGUCCUACCGCCCGUGAAGGCCUCCCAGCCCAGACACCCUAAGGUCACCAGCCAGCUCCGGAGGGGGGAGGCUGGACCGGGACGCAGCGCCUCAGACGGGGAGACCGCAGAGGCUGGGUCAGACGGUGUCACGCCUGCCUGGGAGAGCGGAGGAGGUGUGGAGAGCCAGCAGAGCCGCCACCUGUUGUCUGCAUUCAGCAUCCCUGUCCCCAAGAGAUGUGACAUGCCCCUCAGCACACUGUCAGAUCCUCUACCCCGCGCCACCUACCCCCUGGACAGACACCUCAGACAGGAUCCCCGGACCAGCAGUGCUCAUAGACUCUACUUUGGACUGAAGACCAAGAUUCUGAAGCGUGCAGAGCCACAACUGCCCAUUCUGUUUGGAACCAGGGUGCCCAUCCCAGCCUCUGCACAGAGACUACUCUGAACAGAGACUGUUACUUCGCACUCCAUACUCUCUCCCAACCCAAAAGCUCAGCCUCUGUGGGUUUGUGAUUAAAAAUAAACUUAGUGAAAUUUCUUCAUAUUUUUUGUAUGACACUGAUGACUGUAUAAAAAAAAAAAGCUGUGACUAAUUCAACUUGGUCGUAUUAAACUACAUGGAAUUAACAUGAGUUUACAGAUUUGUUAGUUCUAUGUGAUUUAUAGGCUAUACCACCUCAGCCUUCCUUAAUUAUAAACCCUCCACGCACCUGGACAUGAGUGAAUCAUUUUAAAUGGAGUGAUAAAUGUAUGUAUGCAUGUGUGAUUUCAGUCCUACAUUUUGCAUGUGCUUUUAUUGUGGUGCUCACACUUGAGCUUUUAGUUACUCAGCAACUAUGCUACCUACUCUACAAUGCUGAGGUCUGGGUCGGUUUCUUGGUUUCCUGAAUGUUAAACUGCAGACAUUCUUAUGUCAGAACUCCUCAUCAAGACAAAACAUAUGAGCCAUUGCCAAAGCAUGCUAGUGCACUCUAAUGGAAUGAGCAGUCAGUGAUUGUAGUGUUCCAACCCAUGUGAAGAUGUCAUUGGUAGCCUAUUGAAUUACAUGCUAGAAGUGAACCACACUGUGACUCUGAGGGGCUGUGACAGCAUAGGUGUGUGGGCAGAGGGAUUAGUAUCAUAUUCCAAAUGACUUACACAAUUACAAUCCUGUAUUCAAACAGACUGAGCAUAAUACAUGUACAUAGCAAACUAACUUGUACUGCCACACAACCCAGGUGAAAAAUGUGACUGACAUUUACCGAAAAAGAGCACAUUGAGGUUGUACAAUAUUGAGUAUGGUGUUGUAAAUCAAAAGUAGUGUGUGCUGUAACCAGUAACAAAAUAUUUGACUUGGCUUUAUACAGCACUGCAUUACUGUCCUUUGAUUUGAAGUGUACUGGAACUAAGCUAGUACAAACAACCAGCUACUACAUCAACUCAAACAAUCAACCCUUUAUGAAGAGUUUAUUAUGAGCGUCUGCCGAAUAGCAUCAACACAAGAGGCAACCUUGAUCGACCCAUCUACACAUUCAGGCAACUGAAAUACAACAGAUAAGGCUGCAAACAGAAAUGCAACUGAAAUAAAUUAUAUUGGCACCAAAGACUGCAUGCACUCCCUACUGAGAAAAACCAAAGCGCUGAAGUUGACAUCCCCACGUAGCACGGUUAGGAUCAAUUCCAUUUCAUUCAGGAAGUACAUUGAUAUUCCAGUUCUCUUCAAAAUGAGGAAAAUUCAGAAUUGGAAUUUGGUUUACUUUACUUUCUCAAUUGCCUGGAAUACAAAUAGAAUUGACUUCAACCCUGCCAUGUAGUCUAAUGUACAUGUUUUUAAGCAAGGCAGUUUCUCCCCUAAGCGCUAUUAUAAGUUGAAGAACGAUAAAUUAAACAGAAGUAGUGUUUUCAGUACAGCACAAUACAUUGUUAUGAAAUGUGGUUGAGUAUGAAAGUCUGUUCUAAACUGGAAUGAAACAGUCCUGUUUCGAUCACUUUAAGAUGCAGUGCAAAAACUAAGCCAUGUUGUGUAGUAUGGGGACAGUGUCAUGUAGGCUACAUUCUGCCGUUUCUGGGUACACUUCUUCACAUAUUGAUAGUGUACCACAGUAGGGCAAAUGCUGCCUUGGAAAAAAAUACUGCAUUACAUUCUUAGAACCUGGAUGUGUAACACAACACAGCUUUUUCCAAAUACAACUCAUAGUAGGCAUUCAAACAUAUUCAACAUGCAAAUUAAAGACACUCAAGUAUAUGAAGUAUUCUUCCAAUACACCCUCCACAAAUAAAUAUAAUGUAAAUGUUAAAUCCAUUUUGAUCCUGAACUUCUUCCUACCUCGUAAAGCUGCUUAGAGCAUCACUGACCAACGGAAACAUAAAAUACACCAUGAAAAACACUUGUCUUAAGGCACCAACAGAUCAAAAUCCAACAUGGAGAAAUACUCUAAACUUGGAGCUCUUUUCUGAAGUUCACAUUCAAUAAAACUCUCAACAAAUGUCUGUUUCUUGAAAUUUGAAUGGGAUGCAUGUGCAAAUGAGGUAAAAUAUUGUAAUGAUACCAACAGCUAGCUUUGACUAAUACGAUAGACUUUAGAGUGUAGUUCAAGAAAAUGUUGAUAGAAAUUGUAAUAUUUCAUCAGUUUAUGUUCAGUAACGUUUAGUGGGGUUGUUAUACAGAACCUUCAGAAAGUAUUCACACCCAUUGCCUUUUCCACACCAAAAAUUGUGCCUGAAUUUAAACUUGAUUAAAUUAAGAUUUGUUUUGUCACUGGCCUUAUCACAAUACCCCAUAAUGUCAAAGUGGAAUUAUGUUUUAGGAAAUUGUACAAACUAAAUGAAAAGAUUAAAUGUCUGGUGUCAGUAAGUAUUCAACACCUUUGUUAUGGUAAGCCUAAAUAAAUUCAGGAGUAAAAAUGUGCAUAACAAGUUGCAUGGACUCAAACUGUGUACAAUAAGUGUUUAACAUAGUAAUAAAACAAAAAUCUAAUCUCUGUACCCUUCACACACACAAUUAUCAGAAAGGUCCCUCAGCCAAGCAGUAAAUUUCAAACACAGAUUCAACCAAAAAAAACAGGGAGGUUUUCCAAUGCCUCGCAAAGAAGGGCACCUAUUGGUAGACAGAUAAAAAUAAAGAAAUCAGACAUUGAAUAUCCCUUUGUGCAUGGUGAGGUUAUUAAUUACACUUUGGAUGGUGUAUUCCUAACUCAGUUGCAGGAGAGGAAGGAAACCGCACACCAUUGACCAUGAGGUCGAUGGUGACUUUUAAACCAGUUAAUAGUUUAAUGGCUGUGAUAGGAGAAAAUGGAGGAUGGAUCAAUUGUAUUUACUCCACAAUACAAAAAAAUGUAGCAAAGCAAUACACCUUUUGCCCUGAAUACAAUGUAUUAUGUUUGGGGUACCACUCAUAUUUUCAAGCAUAGUGGUGGCUGCAUCAUGUUAUGGGUAUGCUUGUAAUCAUUAAGGACUGGGGAGUUUUUCAGGAUAAAAAAAGAAACGUAAUGGAGCUAAGCACAGGCAAAAUCCUAGAGGAAAACCUGGUCCAGUCUGCUUUCCACCAGACACUGGGAGAUUAAUUCACUUUUCAACAGGACAAUAACCUUAAACACAAGGCCAAAUCUACACUGGAGUUGCUUACCAAGAAGACAGUGAAUGUUCCCGAAUGUCCAAGUUACAGUUUUGACUUAAAUCUACUUGAAAAUCUAUGGCAAGACCUAAAAAAGGUUGUCUAGCAAUGAUCAACAACCAAUUCAGAGUUUGAAUAAUUCUGAAAAUAAAUGGGCAAAUGUUGCACAAUCCAGGUGUGGAAAGCUCUUAAAGACUUACCCAGAAAGACUCACAGUUGUAAUUGAAAGGUGAUUCUAACAUGCAUUCACUCAGGGGGUUGAAUACUUAUUUAAUGAAGACAUAUUCGUUUUAUUUUCAAUUUUUUGUUCCACUUAAUCCCACUUUGUCACAACAACAUGUGGAAAAAAAUCAAGGGGUGUGAAUACUUUAAGGCACUGUAUAUGGUGGUGGUGGACAUACACAAUCACAAUGUAAUCACAGUGACUAGUGAGUAGCUAGAUCCUCAUAGUGUUUCUCUACAGUGUUGUAUCACUUUAGCACACUGUGCUGCUAUACACUUACAGCCAGCUAAUGAAUAAGUCAAAGAUGAUGACAGGCUAGUCUCCUAACGCGAUGACCCAGCUUAUAGGUGGGUGGCCCUGUAACAAUGGGGCAAUUCUACAAGACUGUACUUCACAAACACAUGUCAACAAUGGGAGUGUGGCAACUAUUUUAGAAUUUCACUAAUACGUUUGUGCCACAUCAAAACUGCCGGAAGUCAUUCAACAGCAGUAUGAUUAAGGAAAGGCUCAACAGGCAUUACAUACUCUCUUACAGCAAACAGUGUUCAAACUUUGAAAACGGACUAAACUGGCUUUUCAGACAAAAUAUAUAUUUAAGUAGUAAGACGUGCAAAUAAACAUGUAAACAAGGAUGAGAAAUCAUAUCCAUGAACUGAUAAUAAAGUGCUUUAGAGCUAGCAUGAGGGAGAUGUCUGGACAUGUUAUCCUAGACAUGCUACCCCCCUGUAGAAUGUCCUAAGACUUCUUAAGGCGGCUCACUUCUACACCUAAACCUCCAGUAGUAGAGGGACAUAGACUGUAGAGGAUGAUGAGUUGGAUCCCAGGACCUCCUUGACGGAAACCAGAAACACAUUGUGUGGGCUGAGGUGGUAGCCCUGUGUGUGUGUGUGUGUG
rnacentral:lncRNA from 13 species